rnacentral:rRNA from 1 species
AGUUUUUUGCUUAUUUAUAAAAAAUAUUUUCUGCUCAGUGUUUAUAAACAGCCGCGGUAAUUUGACCGUGCAAAGGUAGCAUGAUCAUUUGCCUCAUAAUUGGGGGCUAGAAUGAAUGGGAUUACAAGGUGUUUUCUUUAUUUUGAAAAAGAUAAUAAAUUGCUUUUUUUGUUAAGAAGCACGAAUGGUGUUAUGGGACAAGAAGACCCUUUUGAGCUUUAUUACUUUUGGGUUUUUUUAAUUUUAGGUAAUUUGGUUGGGGCGACCAAGGAAGAUGGGUCUUCCUUUAUAUAUAGGGAUCCAAGGGUUUUGAUUGUUAGAUUAAGUUACCAAAGGGAUAACAGCGUAAUUUUUUUUGAGAGUUCUUAUUAAAAAAAAAGAUUGCGACCUCGAUGUUGACUUAUGAUUGCCUUUUGGUGUAGCAGCUAAGAUGGUUGGUCUGUUCGACCUUUAAAAUCUU